AAUCAACGCUGGCGGCGUGCCUCAGACAUGCAAGUCGAACGCGAAAGGUUCCUUCGGGGACCGAGUAGAGUGGCGCACGGGUGAGUAACACGUAGGGUAAUUUGCCUUUGGGUGGGGAAUAACUCAGGGAACUUGAGCUAAUACCGGCAUAAUGCAGCGGCUCGACAUCGAGACAGUUGUUAAAAGCGGGGGAUUCGCAAGAACCUCGCGCCUAAAGAGAAGCCUGCGGCA
rnacentral:rRNA from 1 species